CAUGAUGAACCCAGCCGUUAGCAGGAAGGCGGCACAACAACGUCAGCGGCGCACCUACAGAGUGAGAAGAGAUAUUUUCGCUGAGUACGACGAUGCUGAGUUACUGAAAAGAUUCAGAUUGGACCGUGCUGGUAUUGUUGCAGUGACUGAUAUAGUGAGAGACAAGCUGCAAAGUAAAACUGAAAGAAAUAGAGCCUUGACCCCUGAGAUGGUGGCCAUCACAUUACGAUAUUUAGCCACAGGAAAAAUGCAACAGUGCAGUUGUGAUGAUUUUGGAACAACGCAGCCCACUAUCAGCCGUGCAAUAUCACAGACAAUUGAUGCACUGGCUGACCCAGAAGUAAUCUGCCAGUUCGUGGCUUUCCCUCACACCCAGCGUGAAGUGCAGCAAAAACAGGCAGAGUUCAUGCAAGUAACUCAGUUUCCCGGUGUUGUGGGAGUGAUUGAUGGUACUCAUAUAAGAAUUGUGUCUCCUCAUGUCGAUGAACAUGUAUAUGUGAACAGGAAACGCUAUCACAGCAUAAAUGUGCAAGUAGUAUUUGAUGCUCACUAUAAGAUUCUUGACAUUGUGGCAAGGUGGCCUGGCUCAGUCAACGAUGCAAGAAUACUAGAUAAGUCAGCACUCAAACUGAUGUUUGAGGAACAACAUGUACCUGCAGGAUGCUACCUUCCCGGGGACAGUGGGCUAUCCCUGUAAGCAGUGGCUCCUCACUCCUUACCUUCGCCCUCAAACUGUUGCACAAGCUAAUUAUAACAGGUGGGUUUAUUUGUAAAUAGUGUUCUGUUAGGUUUAGAUAUGCUUUGAACGAAUCUAGUAGCUUUCUCCCCAGGGCCGCCCUCCCGCGUGUGCCCGCAGCCCCUACAAGAACCGGUCCCUGCCCCCCUUUGGGCACGCUCUCCUCCCAAGGCUAAGUCCCCGGGGCGUGGCCGCCCAAACUAACCCCCCUCCUCCCAACAGUUCCAGUACCUUACGAUGCAGCCGAGGGGACUGACGCCACCACCACCACUGCCACCACCGCCACAACAAGGGUUAUUCAAAUGGGGAACAUGCUUCAGGUGUUGCCCCAAGAUGCCUCAGCCCCGCAGCCCCACUUCCCCAUGAUAGUGCAGGCAGGGAAUGUCAUACAGGUUGUUCCAGCUGACAACACGCAGGUAUUAGGGGCAGAAGUCGUUGGAGUUGGUCGGGUCAUGCAAGUGGUCGGAGUCCCAGGCUUUCCCCCGACCCCAGCCCCAGACCCCUGCCCCAGCCACCCCUCUCCCUGUGACCCCUGCCCAGUCAUCCCUCACCCCCUCCUGCCCCCCUGCGGUGCUGCCAGCGGGGGUGAUGGGAGGUGGAGGUGGGCCACACACACCUGGGUUAGCUGUGGCUUGGCUUAUCUCCCUCCUCAGCAGCAAAUCCCGAGGAUCAACGAGGACAUGGUGGACCCAGAGAUUGCAGCAGCAGCAAGAGAGAGAGAGAGAAGCAAGAGAGGAGGGAGAGGAAGGAGAGGAGGAGGAGAGAGAGGGAGGCCAGGAGGGAGGCACGUCAGAGAGAGAGGGAGAGGAAGAGGUUGAUUCUGUUACAACAACAACUGCAACAACAACAACAGUUAGUCAGUGAGGAGGGGGAGGGGCCGUCCUCUGAUGCUGAGGAUGAGGUAUUGUUCAGGGAGGCCAUGUCGGAGGUGCCGGUGGUGGGGUCGCCAGUUCCGGAGUACGAGGUGGAGGAGGAAAAGGAAGAGGAGGACGAGGAGGAGGCACGGAUAAGGAAGAAGAAAAGAUUAUUACCUGUAGCCCUCCCUCCAGCUGAUAAGGGGAUAUUAAGGAGCCCUUCCUACAGGUUCGUUCGAUGCAAGGAGUUGGCACAGGAGGCGUCCGAGGCUGUGUAGAGCGGCCGUCUGAACCUGGUGCCACAGCUUACUAUGUUCAACAGGUGCGUGUGUGUGUGUGUGUGUGUGUGUGUGUGUGUGUGUGUGUGUGUGUGUGUGUGUGUUUUGUGUGGUCAUUUCACUAUCUAUCUAUCUGUUUAGUUUGUCUCCAUCUGUCUGUCUUUCUGUCAUUGGUCUGUCUGUCUGUCUGUGUAUUGCAAUGAUUUUUCAGUUAUGUAUUUUAUUUUUUAUUCUUGUGUACUUGUGUCUGUCUGUAUGUAUGUAUGUAUCAGUCAGUGAGUCAGUCAGUCAGUCACUCAGUUAGUCAGUCAUUCAGUCAGUCAGUUAGUCAGUCAUUCAGUCAGUUAGUGAGUUAGUCAGUUAGUCAGUCUGUCAGUCACUCACACAGUGUUAAUCCUCCUCUUCCUCCUCCUCCUCCUCCUCCUCCUCCUCCUCCUCCUCCUCCUCCUCCUCCUCCUCCUCCUCCUCCUCCUCCUCCUCCUCCUCCUCCUCCUCCUCCUCCUCCUCGUCCACCUCCUCCUCCUCCUCCUCCUCCUCCUCCUCCUCCUCCUCCUCCUCCUCCUCCUCCUCCUCCUCCUCCUCCUCCUCCUCCUGUUCCCCACCACCCCUGCCAAGAGGUGAGUGUAUGUACGUGUGUGUGUGUGUGUGUGUGUGUGUGUGUGUGUGUAGUAAUAAUAGUAAUGCUAUGUACAUAUAUAAAUACUGUUAAUAUUAUUGAUAAAAAAUAUUGAUGAUGAUGAUGAUGAUGAUUCAGUGGUGAUUAUGAAAAUGUGCAUUACAAUAUAGGGUAGAUAUUAUUGUUAUUACCUGUGUGUGUGUGUGUGUGUGUGUGUGUGUGUGUGUGUGUGUGUGUGUGUGUGUGUGUGUGUGUGUAUGUGUGUGUGUGAGGAAUAAUUGAAUAAUUGAAUAAUUGAUGCUCUCUCCUUUGCUAUUCAUUAUAUACAUGGACAGAUGCCUGAAGGAAGUGUGUGUAAGGGAGGAUAAAGAGAUCAUGCUGGCCUAUGCAGACGAUGUCGCUGUCGUGACAGGAAGCCAACAAGAUCUUCAAGAGGCCAUGACAAGAUGGAAUGAUGUUUUAAAUAGGGAAGGAAUGAGAAUGAACAAACAAAAAACUUAUUUACUAGUGGACAAGCAACAAGUGAUGGUGUGGCUCUGAGCCACUGUAGUAGGGAUGUUAUGGUUUAAGUGUAGGAAGUUGCAAAUGCUCACCUAACAAUUGCACCUUAGUAGAAAAACACAAACAGGAAGUUUAUGCAAGUUUUUAUCCUUAUAUAAAAUGUUGUAUUGCAUCAAACCUCCAUACAUUACUGUCUCUAUCCAGUAUGAGACCGGUGUUCAGGAAGCACAAGCAUGUGCUGAAUAACAAGAAGCCGGCAUUGGUGAAGGUGACAACAUUUCAUCUAUUUAUACAUACUUUUUAUUAUUAAAGCUUAUCUUAUAAUUAUUUCUGAAGAGAUUGACUAAUUUUUGUAGUAUUUAUGACUUAGAACUACGAGUAUGAUAAAGCUAUGAAUUGAUAUAAUUCCUGAUUUGUUUUAUCUUUUCAUUAUCCUUCCUUUGUUAAUUGAGCAUUUUAUAUUACUUAGCUUAAAAAUGCAAGAACGGUUCAGAAGUAUCCAACCUUGGGCUAAGGGCCAAAAUUAUGGUAUCAUUCAAAAUGUCCUUCAAAGAAAGCCCUCUGUAAUCCAACACACUUAGCCCAUUAAUCCUUCCAUUUCUCAUCAAUUUGUUCAACAUUCAUAUUUUUCCCUUAUAGGGUUGAACAAUUUUCAUGGGUUCAGAGCAAAAGGCUUCCUCAUUCCUCCCCAAGGUAUUCUCGGAUGGUAAGCAGGUUUGACUCUGGAGCAAACCUGACCAAGGGCUACUGCCCAAGGCUACAGAGGUUCCUCUCCCUGAGGCUGAAUGCACCAUGUGAGAUGGUUCUGUUAUGUGGAUGAAUGUCAUGGUGGAUAGCAGUGCCACCACAUUCCUACAAUCAUCCAUCACUCCACUGCUCAAACGCUUCUGCAACCAAUGAUAGGUAUGCUGCCACAUUCUGCAUGGUCUCCUUGGCUCUCAGAUAAGGAUACUGUCAACAGGUUUGGGAUUGCCAAAAAAUCAUAAGGAGCUAUGUCUGAAAAGUCCAGAGAGAGAGAGAGAGAGAAAGAAUGAGCAAGAGAAAGAGUAGGAUGAAGCAAAGGAAGAGUCAAGAGGGAGGAAGAGAGAGUAGGACAAGAAAAAACAGAACAAAUAAAUCCCCUACACGUCUUGUCUCCAUUCACACAAGCCAUGAAAAGCUUGUCCAUCCCUGAGUGCUCAGAAGCAGUGUUCCACUGAUGAUGUGGAAACUUGAGACACCCAAUCAUUUAAUGGGCUUUAGUAGGUUUUGUCACCAGUCUUCUGUGUGUCACUGACUACAUUUUGAAAUUUUUAUCUGUUCUAUUUAAUUUUGUGUGUAUGUACACAAUGUUUAUGGUCAAUAAACUAUUUAUAAAACUAUUUAUCUGUGUGAGUAAGAUAAAAGCAGUUAUUGUUAUUAUUAUUAUUAUUAUUAUUAUUAUUAUUAUUAUUAUUACACAUUUUCCUCCUUGUAUUUAAAUAUUAUUAUUAUUAUUAUUAUUAUUAUUAUUAUUAUCAUGAAUUGUUCUUGUUUAUAAAUAAAAUACUGUAACUGA